rnacentral:rRNA from 1 species
GCUAAGAAUAUUCCGCAAUGGACGAAAGUCUGACGGAGCGACGCCGCGUGGAUGAUGAAGGCCGGAAGGUUGUAAAAUCCUUUUAGGUGUGAGGAAUAAGGAGGAUGAGAGAAACGUCCUCUGGUGACGGUAGCACCUGAAUAAGCAACGGCUAAUUACGUGCCAGCAGCCGCGGUAACACGUAAGUUGCGAGCGUUGUUCGGAAUUAUUGGGCGUAAAGGGUAUGUAGGCGGUUCUGCAAGUCUGGUGUGAAAUGCCGGGGCUCAACCCCGGAACUGCGUUGGAAACUGCAGGACUUGAAUCGCUGAGGGGCAGCCAGAAUUCCAGGUGUAGGGGUGAAAUCUGUAGAUAUCUGGAAGAAUACCAAUGGCGAAGGCAGGCUGCCAGCAGAUGAUUGACGCUGAGGUACGAAGGUGCGGGGAGCAAACAGG